CCCCCUUCUAAAGGUAUGUUUCAUAAUAUUAACAGGACAACUCUCAGCUGUGCUGUUAGAUAUUUUUCUGAUGUCUCAAAUCAGAAUCGCACACUCCCUUAACAGUGGAGAAAAAAAGCACAUUGAGAAAAGGAAACCAAUUAUUGAGAAAUGUAUGAAGAGGAAUCAUGUUCAUGUUGCAUACAAACAGGUUCCUAACAUUGCUUUGCUGGGAUCCGGAGGAGAAAAGAGAGCAAUGGUUGGACUUCUGGGAUCACUCUAUCAGAUGGAGAAGGAGGAUCUCCUGGACUCUAUCCUCUAUUUUUGUGAGGUGUCAGGUUUCACAUGGUGCAUGACCAGUCUUUACAAGGAGUCGAACUGGUCUAAAAAAAUUGAAUAAGUGAAAAUGAGAAUUGCCCACAGGCUUGUGGAUGAUCAUGUG